CUUGUGCCAGCAGCCGCGGUAAUACAGAGGGUGCAAGCGUUAAUCGGAAUUACUGGGCGUAAAGCGCGCGUAGGUGGUUCGUUAAGUUGGAUGUGAAAUCCCCGGGCUCAACCUGGGAACUGCAUUCAAAACUGACGAGCUAGAGUAUGGUAGAGGGUGGUGGAAUUUCCUGUGUAGCGGUGAAAUGCGUAGAUAUAGGAAGGAACACCAGUGGCGAAGGCGACCACCUGGACUGGUACUGACACUGAGGUGCGAAAGCGUGGGGAGCAAACAGGAUUAGAU
rnacentral:rRNA from 1 species